rnacentral:rRNA from 1 species
UACGAAGGGGGCGAGCGUUGUUCGGAAUUACUGGGCGUAAAGGGCGCGCAGGCGGCCCUUGAAGUCAGGCGUGAAAGCCCCGGGCUCAACCUGGGAGGUGCGCUUGAUACUCGAGGGCUUGAGUGCGGGAGAGGAGAGUGGAAUUCCCAGUGUAGAGGUGAAAUUCGUAGAUAUUGGGAAGAACACCCGUGGCGAAGGCGGCUCUCUGGAACGCAACUGACGCUGAGACGCGAAAGCGUGGGGAGCAAACAGG